GUCCUCUAGAACUGUCCAGUUUGCAUUAUUUAUGGCGUUUGUGUUUCCUAUCCCUGGUGAGGUGUGUGGAAUGAACUGCAAAGGUAAGCAGGGGGUGUGGGUUUUUAUAGAAAUGCUAUCUCCACAAAUACAAGCCUUUGGCCUUUAAAUAAAUAAAUAAAUAUAUAUCCUGAUGAAAGUUGGUUUGCGAACUGAAAAGUCGAUUUUACUGGCAACCACUGAAUAAAAGCUAAGUUUUAUUUUUAUACUGUACUAAGUCCCUUGAGUGCUGUUUUUUUUAAAUUGGGUUGUGUAUAUAUGCAUAUAUACAGUGGGACCUCUGUUUACAAACGACUCGGUUAACAUAAUUUUCGGUUUACAAAUGAAAAUCCAUUGAAAAUAAUGCCUCGGUUUACAAAAAAUGUUUGCAAUACAAAGCAAGUUUCCCCAGGAUGCAUUGCACCUGGGAGGUUUAUAGCACCGCCCCCAGCAUGCUGGAGCCUGUGGGUAGUACGUGGCGUAGAGUGCGGAGGUGUUGGAGCGGCUUUUGCAUUGAGUUUUGGAGCAAUUUUGGAAAUUGUUUGCAGUUAUUUUGGAAAUUUUUGGUGCUGUGGAAAGGUAGGGAGUCGAGCUUUGUCGUUUGCAUGACUUUUAUUGUGUGUUCUGCAUUCUAGGUUGGUUUCCAUGCCAGCUCAUUUUGUCUUUUUUCUGACCUCAAGAACGGAUUAAUUGGUUUUCAAUGCAUUCCUAUGGGAAACCGCGUUUCAGUUUACAAAUGUUUCGCAAUAAGAAACGUCCCGGAGAACGCAUUAAAUUCGUAAACUGAGGUCCCACUGUAUAUGUGUAUUAUUAAUGCUUAAUUAUGUGAUUAUAUAAGUUAUAUAUUGAGGGAAAUGCCUGACAACCCAGGCAGAAACUCUUGAAAAUUUAAUUUGAAAGCCCUUUAUUUGACAUUGUGACCUUUCAAAACCACAUAAAACCUGUACAUGGGGAAUACUGUUAUACUUAUGAGCGUUUUAGGACAGUAAAAUGUAUAAUAGUGAUAAUAUCAGUGAAAGUGUCAUUUUUGUGUGAAAAAUACAAAUAACAAAUAUAAACACGAACUUUGGCCACAGUUUGUAACUAAGUGGCUACUAAAAAAGUCUGGACAUACCUCAUUGUGUACUUUUACAAAUUGUAUGCCAAGAUGGGGGUCAUUUUCAUUUCUGGGCUGCCAUACGGUCUCAAAGGAACAUAGGCCCAGCAAACCAGUCUGGCAAAUUUCAAUGUGUCAAAAUAAAACAGGCAAGCUUCUCAUAUGCUCCUGUAACUUUCCAAAACACCAUGAGACCUACAUAUGGGGCAUCUUUGUACUAGCGGAACAUCACAGCAUACAUGAAUAUAUAUCAAGUGAAAUGAAAGCCCUAUUUCUGAGAAAAUUAUAUAUAAUAAGCGUGUGUGGAAAGUGGUAAAUUAUGAUUGAACAGACAUACAGGUGAUACUCGAAAAUUAGAAUAUCGUGCAAAAGUUCAUUUAUUUCAGUAAUGCAACGUAAAAGGGGAAACUAAUAUAUGAGAUAAAUGCAUUACAUGCAAAGCAAGAUAGUUCAAGCUGUGAUUUGUCAUAAAUGCGAUGAUUAUGGCUUACAGCUCAUGAAAACCCCAAAUCCACAAUCUCAGUAAAUUAGAAUAUUACAUACAAUCAAUAAAACAAUGAGUAUUUGACCUCUGAAAAGUAUAAGCAUGCAUAUGGACUUAGUACUUGGUUUGGGCCCCUUUUGCAGAAAUUACUGCCUCAAUGCGGUGUGGCAUGGAAGCUAUCAGCCUGUGGAACUGCUGAGGUGUUAUGGAAGACCAGGAUGCUUCAAUAGCGGCCUUCAGCUCUUCUGUAUUGUUCGGUCUCAUGUCUCUCAUCUUUCUCUUGGCAAUGCCCCAUAGAUUCUCUAUGGGGUUCCGGUCAGGUGAGUUUGCUGGCCAAUCAAGCACAGUAAUCCCAUGGUCAUUGAACCAGGCUUUGGUGCUUUUGGCAGUGUGGGCAGGUGCCAAAUCCUGCUGGAAAAUAAAGUCAGCAUCCCCAUAAAGCUCGUCUGUGAAAGGAAGCAUGAAGUGCUCCAAAAUCUCCUGGUUUACGGCUGCGUUGAUGAAGCAUACACCAGCAACACCAGCAGAUGACAUGGCUCCCCAAAUCAUCACAGACUGUGGAAACUUCACACUGGACUUCAAGCAUCUUGCAGUGUGUGCCUCUCCAUUAUUCCUCCAGACUCUGGGUCCUUGGUUUCCAAAUGAGAUGCAAAAGUUGCUCUCAGCAGAAAAGAGGACUUUGGACCACUGAGCAACAGACCUGGUCUGUUUUUCUUUAGCCCAGGUAAGAUGCUUCUGACAUUGUUUGUUGUUCAGGAGUGGCUUGACAAGAGGAAUAUGACACCUGAAGCCCAUGUCCAGGAUCUGUCUGUGUGGUGGCUCUUGAUGCACUGACUCCAGCCUCAGUCUACUCCUUGUGAAAGUCCCCAACACUUUUGAAUGGCCUUUUCCUAACAAUCCUCUCCAGGCUGUGGUCAUCCCUGCUGCUUGUGCAACUUUUUCUUCCACACUUUUCCCUUCCACAUAAUUAAUGUGCUUUGAUACAGCAUUUUAGGAACAUCCAACUUCCCUUGCAAUUACCUUUUGAGGCUUUCCCUCUUUAUGGAGGGUGUCAAUGAUGGUUUUCUGCACAACUGUCAGGUCAGCAGUCUUUCCCAUGAUUGUGAUUCCUACUGAACCAGACUGAGAGACCAUUUAAAGCAGGGGUCCUCAAACUCCAGCCCCCCAGAUGUUGCUGAACUACAACUCCCAUGAGUCUCUGGCUAUCUAUGUAAUUCAAAGAAUCAUGGGAGUUGUAGUUCAGCAACAUCUGGGGGGUCGGAGUUUGAGGACCCCUGAUGUAAAGGCUCAGAAACCCUUUGCAGGUGUUAUGGCUUACUCUUGCUUUGCAUGUAAUGCGUCUAUCUCAUAUAUUAGUUUCCCCUUUUACAUUGUAUUACUGAAAUAAAUUAACUUUUGCACGCUAUUCUAAUUUUUCGAGUAUUACCUGUAUAGCCUAAAUUCUAGGUUUUGAUCAGAACUUGCAGUACUGCAUGGAGAUGAUGAACAUUCCUCUGAUUCAAUGCAUCUCUAUGAGGAGAUGCUGAUUGGCACAGCGCUGUGUUUUCCAAAAGCAUUGGAUUGGCUGAGAUUAUCGAAUUUGAUGAUCAAAGCUAUGGAGGCAGAGUCUGGCAGAGCCAGCCGUGAAGAGACCUGUGCUGCUCUGGAAAAAAGGUAAUUAAACUCCCCUUUUUAAUAGAGGAAAGGGGGGGCUAGUGAUCUAAACAGCGCAUUUAGCACUUUAGCAAUACAUUCUCAACUAUAGUGAUCCUUUAACUCCUUUAACUCUUCUAUAUUUCAUUCCUUAUUUCACACCUGUGUCAUAGAAUAAAACAUAAGUAAAAAAUAAUCUGUGCACAUUCCUACUUAUACAUUUUGAAGGCAAACUGCUUAAUGUUGAGAAUCAUUCUACUGAUUUCCACAGUAAUUGUUUCAUUUGUUUUUUUUUGUUUUUUUUACUCUUUGCCACAGAAUAGCACAUGAUGACUCGCCCCCUACAGUUCCAACUAGACUUGUGUUAUGUAAUGAAAAUUCAUCUUGGGCAAAACAUUUUUUUUCGGAAAACAGAACAUUUUUUGGAAUACUCGGUUGGUUCAGCUCAGCAGAAUUUUGGUAAAGAAAAACUGAUUUAGGAACAAAAUCAGAUGACCCAAAAGGUUGUGAAAAUCGGCUAAUCAGUGUACUGCAGAACGUACACACAAUAUUAUGUAUAUAUUUUGCAGUACAAUGAUUUGGUCCCAUUUGGUUCACAGAUCAAGUGAGGAAAAGUAACCAAUAGAGUGAAAAACAGGAAGAGCAGUAUAAAACCAAAAAAUAUAUAUUUAUAUAUUAUAUAUGUUGUAAAAUAAACAGUAUAUAAAUGUAGAUUUAUUGCUGAUUCUACUUUUUCCAGUUGUUGCUCAUUUCUCACUUUUUCUAUGAAUUAAAUCAAUAUAUAGUAACUGUUCCCUAGCAAUCCCCUUUUCAAAAUCGUGAACCAAAAUGAACAUGCACAUUAUGGUUGGUUUGCAAUUCGGGUACCAUUUGGAAAUUUGCCCAAAUUUGGAUGAAUUGCAGUUCUGACCAAGAUUAAUCUCCAAGUCUACUUCCAACAUGCAUGCAAUUUCUGUCCAUUUGCUGAAAUGACUUUACUUAUUUUUUUCACACUCAUUGUUUUCUUUCUAGCAGUAUUAGCUUCAAAUAAUGGACUAAUUCCUGUAUAUAUUGUAAAAUUAUCUUAUUCUUGAUUUAUUAGAGGUGAAUGUUAAUAUUUUUAGCAGGGGUAAACAUUUUGAAAAAAUUAUAUUUACUAGUGUCUGUAUCUAAUUAGUUAUCUGGCAGCUCUCAGAGAAAAUUGAUAAACUUGCUUAGAAAACUUACACCUUUAUUAGCUAGAGUAAGCAACUUGUAAUUGUGCGACUUGCACUAGGACAGUUUGAUAGAUUUACACCAAAAUAUACCCUUUGUAUCUGUUAUGACUUUCUACCUUCCAUCAAGUAGUGACUGUUUAACAUCUGCCAAUGUCACAAGUAGCUGUUGGGAUUUACUGACAGAUGCUUCUAAAAAGCCAGUAGCUAACAUCUUCUAUUAUUCUUUAUGGGAAGAACUUGCUCCUACCCUAUCCCUACUUUUAACAAUUGCCUCUAAACGGACUUAUUGAUAAUGCAUAAUCUUGCUGAUGGUAAAUAAGUAUUUACGGAUUGUUCGUUUUUCAUUGAUGAACGUAUCUAAUAUUGGCGCCACUUUGAAGGCUUUACGCAAGGGAAUUGAUCACACUUAAACUGUACAUUUACGCUACUUUCUAGUACAGCACGUCAUACUAGAAAACCUUAUACAUUUUUAAAGAAAUUCCAAACAUAAUUCUUAUUCUUGCUUAUGAUGGACCAUACAUGCACUACAAAAUCAAGACAUAUAUCUGCAUAUUCUUGCAAAAUAAGAGAUAUGAAAAUCCUACUAACUUGUUUAGCCCAGAAAAAAAUUACAACAAUUCAGCCAUAAUUAGGUAUAAAAAAAUAACCAAUGAAAACAAUUAUUAUCCUUCAUCUUCUAAGAAUGUGGUGAACAGUGAAAAAAAAAUAUUAUAAAUUUUAAGUUGUUCUUGCACUCAUCCAUAUCAAAUUAAAAUUCUUUUUCCUAAGCCUAAGGAAUAAAAAAAAAAUGUCAUCUUCUUUUUGGCUUUUUGCUUUUUAUAAAUGUAGUUACAUGAGAUAACAUUUGUAUUGCGUAAAUAUGAGUGGCGACUAUUUUUAAAAUGGGAUGCCAGACUCCACCCACAUCAUUUGACUCUACCCCCUCUUUCUGGAAACCCCACCUCUUGAUAUAUUGGACUCAUGAAAUAGUAAAAGAAAAGAAAAAGAAAAAAGUUAUUCGUUAUUUCAUUGGCUUCAACGCUUUCAACUUUUCAACCCUUGCUGGUAAAAUGACCAAUACGUAAUUAUGUAUAUAUUAUUAUUAUUAUAUAUUUUUAUGUAUUUUUAGUGUGCAUGAAAUUGCUUAGGCUAAUGAGUUAUACUAUAACUGCUCAGAUACAAUAAAUAAUGCUAAAUUAUGAAAUAAUUACAUUUAUAAAGGAAAACUUAAGCAAACAUGUUAAUACAAUAAUGGAACUGCCGCAGAAACUGGGAAUAUGAGAACUUGGAGAACUUAGAGAGCUUAGAAAAACUCAUUAGCAUUCCCUUUGGCUAAGCCCGCUCAGGUCUCAAAAGAGUUAGACACCAGGAACGCAAUUGUGAUAUAGGAACUGCUACCCCAGGCCUGUAUGUACUAUAAAAGGUACAUAACAAAGAACCAUCGUUUUGGAGACAUCGGUAAACUACGUGAUCAUUGGCCUACUUGAUCUUUUGGUUUAUCAUGAUGUUUCCAGAAACCUUAAAUGGCAUUAUUUUCCUAUAAUAAUAGGUUCAUCAUUAUUUAUUCCUAUAAGGUAUUUCCAUCUGUAGCAAACUCCUAAUUUAACGUUUAGAAAAUUGGCGUUUCUCCUUCAUCAAGGGGAAUGUAGUAUUAUAAUUUUUUUAUUCUGUUGAUUUAUAGCUGUGACAUGGUAUGCUUUUACUAUGCAUUAAUGUGCAUAAAUACAUGGAACAGAAUGUAAUGCAAGUAAUUUAAUCAUCAGAGAGUAUUUAACCUAACAUUUUAAUUAUCAGUAUUGCAUGGAUCCUGCACUCAGGAAUAAACAUUUGCUUCAGGUGCAACUGUCUAUAGUUCUUCACCUCGGCAAUGCACUAAAGACAUUUCUAAUUGUUAGGGUGCCUGAAUUAGCGGCCAGGCAGUGUAAAGACUUUGCUGCCAAUGGGAAUAAAUUAAUCACAGCAUUUCCUAUGAGAUCCCUUCUAUGAUUAAUUUAUUUGCCCUAGCAGCAUUUAAAUUUUAAAUAAUGUCAGCACUAUUCAUGUACUUCUUGACAGCAUGUGCCACAGCAUUAGCAUUGUUGUUUUUCCCCUUAAUUUUUGCAAAAUGUUUACUACAGCAUUAAUAGUGACUACAAUAUAAUGUAUUGACCAAAGCAUGAGGUCACUGCUAAUUUACUUCCCUCACUUUAUAUUAAAAAUACCACGUUUUAUAAGUUUUAAGUCACUGAUUGUAAUGUAGUUUCUAAAGAGGAUAAGUGGUAUAACUUUAAGUUGACACUUCAAAAAUGUUGUUGGUUCAACAUAAGUUAAGGAAACUGUGAAGGCCUUAAAACAGAAACUCUAUGGUUAACAAUGGUUCUAAAACUCCUAGCAGAAUGUUUACUAGAACUAUGUAAAGCCCUAACUAGUGUUGUACAAGCAGGUUCCAGCAAUUUUCCUGAAAGAGAAAAGACAGAGAGAAAGACCAAGCCAAUCACUCCUUCCAAGAAAAGCAGGAAAAGAGAACCACUAACUAAAUUUGAAAUGAAAAGAGAUGACAGGAUGACUUGUGUUAAUUAUUGUGGUGAUACAGGUCACCAAAUUACUAACUGUCCCAGAAGACCUCCUAAGCCUCCUGCAACCAAUGAUCCUAAUAUACAGAACACAAAAAAAAUCAUUCCUUUAUGCAAGGACUAUAACUACAACAAUUCUGAUUUACUGACAUACUUACCUAUCCUCCCUCAGUUAAUUCCCUUACAUUUCAUGAUUCAGAUAGAGCUCUGUAGAGCUGGAUUGUGACACUCCGCCUUCAGAUGGCUUGGGUUCAGAGGAUCAAGUCACGAACGACUGUCCUGAACAAAUAGCCGUUGCAACGACUACCUCUCCUUUCAUCCAGUCAAAAGAACAACAAAAUGCUCCUAAGAAGAAUACGGCAAAACCUCCAUUUGGUGCCCCUGGUCUUGUAAAAGUCAGUGAUGGUACUAUACAUCAAACUUAUCAGUAUUACUUGUUCCUAUAUAUUGUUGCUUAGUCGUAUAUAAUUGUCAUGUAACCUGUAAUUUCUAUUAUAGGUUUUUCUUCUCUUUAUUUUCCUAUAAUAUCUAAGCUAUUGUUAUCUUACGACCUGUUUGGGGCAUAUUAACCCCUUAAGGACUGAGCCAAAUGUUGUGAACAAAACAAAAUGUAAACAAAACCUGGCAUUUGCGCUACAUGUCUGUCCAACCGUAAUUCACCUCUUUCAUAUUAAAUGCACCCACCCUUAUUAUAUAUCAUUUUAUUCAGGGGAAACAGGGCUUUCAUUUAAUAUCAAAUAUUUAGCUAUGAAACAUAAUUUAAUAUGAUAAAAAUGGGAGAAAAUACGAUUUUUAUUUAUUUUUUUAGUUCUACAUUUUAACUGUCAAUGUCAUAAUACUGUUUGCUUUUACUGCAAUAAAAUACACAUAUUUGUAUUCAGCAAAGUCUCACGUGUAAAACAGUACCCCCUAUGUACAGGUUUUAUGGCGUUUUGGGAAGUUACAGGGUCAAAUAUAGCACGUUACAUUUGAAAUUGAAAUUCGCCAGAUUGGUUACGUUGCCUUUGGGACUGUAUAGUAGCCCAGGAAUGAAAUUUACACCCAUAAUGGCAUACCAUUUGCAAUAGUAGACAACCCAAGGUAUUGCAAAUGGGGUAUGUCCAGUCUUUUUUAGUAGCCAUUUGGUCACAAACACUGGCCAUCAGUGAAGCAACCUCGAACCAGUUGGCUAGGUGAUGGUCAGACAUAAAUUGUUUGUACAAGUGAAAAGCUCUGUGAUACGCGUGUUGGGUGCUGGUGGAUAAGGCUAACUUGGUAAGAACGUGGCUGUGCUGAAGUAAUUCGUCUAAUCCACGACAAGUUCUUGGAAAGUUGGCGCUGGCACCCGGGGCGGACCCCGCCCCCCCCUUAGUACGCCACUGGCUGAAGUAAUUCGUCUAAUCCACGACAAGUUCUUGGAAAGUUGGCGCUGGGGUUGCUAGAGCUGCCGAGCGUAGGGACAGUUUGAAAGCCUGAAAUUGAAAGCGAGAGAGUUGGUCAGCUGCCGUGUUGUAUAUGCCGGGAACGUGAGAGCAUACAAUUUGGAACUGAUGGGUAGCUGCCAGCCAUGUCAGUUUCCUAAGGAAACUAAUAAUCGCCAAGGAGGAAGAGCGACCUCUGUUGAUAAUGUGGCAUAUUGCCAGGUUGUCGGAAAAGCAGCGUACGGACUGACCUUUCCACAACCUACACCAAGUGACGGCUGCAGCAACUAUUGGGUAUACUUCAAAUAGGGCUGAGUUAGUGUGAAAACCCUCAAUGCCCUGUGUUUCUGUAGGCCAGGUCCCCCAGAGCCAUUCUGUGCCGAAAAUGGCCGCAUAUCCCGCUGAUGACGCUGCGUCUGUCCAAAUGACCGGUGACUGUGAAGCAAUCUGCGGGAGGAACAUGCUCCUCCCAUUCCAUUCCGAGAGGAAUUUGUACCAAAUCUGGAGGUCAGCGGUCGCAGGACAGUCUAAGGAUAUGCGGACAUGGACGUUGGCGAAAGUGGGGAACAGGGCGAGGAGCCUAGCAAUGAAAGCCCUGCCCUGGGGGAUUAUGCGCAUGGCAAAAUUUAGUGAACCCAGAAGUGAUUGUAGUUCUUUACGAUUGCAGGACCCCCUGUGCAUGUAGUGGCUAAUAUUGUGUAGGAUGUGAACUACCUUUUCUGGCCAUCAUAGUUGAUGAAUCCAGCAGAAUACUCAGAAAGUUAAUCAAUGUAUCUGGUCCUUCGGUUUUAGUGGGUGACACGGGAACACCAAGGGAUGUGAAUAGUUUGGUUGCUUUGUCUAGGCUACGUGGGGGGGUGGAAUUGGUUUCGAUGAAAAGAAAAUCAUCUAAGUAGUGUAUCACAUUUGGGCACCUGCAGGUAUUGAGGAGGAGCCAACACAAAACUUCUGCAAACGUGUCAAAAAUCCUGGGACUACUCUUGGCACCGAAAGUGAGCUUUGUAAAAAAGUAGUAGGAGUCUUGCCACUUAACGCCAUGCAGGUGCCACAAAGAGGGGUGUAUAGGUAAUAAUUUAAAAGCAUUCACAAUAUCCGUCUUGCUGAGCCAAACCCCCAACCCUGCAGAUCUGAUAGCUGCAAUAGCGUCGGCAAUAGUGGAGUAUUGUAGGGAAAAUUCCUCAGAUGGAAUCAAUGAGUUUAGGCUGGGGAUGGCAGAGGAGUGGGGUGCGGAUAAGUCUUAGUUUCUCAGAAUUUUUGCUGGAAACCAGCCAGAUAGGGUUAGUUCUCCAGCUGGAAAAUGGGGGGUUAACAAAAGGCCCAAUGACAAAUCCCUGAUCCACUUCCAGUUGUAACAGUGUGGUGACUGCCAUAGGGUGGUUAGUGGCAGACUGUAAAUUGUGACACUCUAAUACCCCAGUUGGCAUGUAAAUGACCCCUGUGUGAAAACCCUGGAUGAGACCCGUACAUAAAAAAUCAACGAGGUGUUUGGAGGGGUGAGUGGAUAGCAUACAUGCAAGUAAAGGAACGUUUACCAGAGACAAAUAAGGUUUCUGGUACAUUUUAUUAGGGCACAUGGAUUUCGCAUGUGCCCUGAAACAAUGUGAGCACACGUGCAAUAAGCGGCAGGCGCUGUAGCCGCAGGAGCCCUCGUUGAAAUUAUUGCAAAUCUGUGAUUUGCCUAGAUACACUACUGGAUGACCCAGUUUGUCUCUGGUCUGUUUCUCAGCCUUAGUGGGAUGAUGCAAGGAUGGGCCGGGAGCGCUGUCUGGACAGAGCGGGCAAAAAUUUGCUGCGUGAGCAGGAGAUGUACAUAUGGCACAAGCUGGUGUCCUAAGACCCGCAAAUGUCUGAGGAAUAGCUCAUUGUCUAGUUGGCUCUAAUCCAUCUGGAUGCCGUACUGAGACAAUGUGGCAGACACUUUUGAUGAAAAGGACUUGUGGUAAUCGUAAAAAGUAUAGCCACCAUACUUAUUACCGAGGUCCACCAGCUUAUGCAUAUAUAGAUCGAGUUCCUCCCUCCUAUGGGGAUGAGCCGUGCAUAGAAUAUCUCUAAAGAUACUGAAAGCCAGCACGAAAUCAGGAAUGGCAAGUUUCUUACUGAGUCUUGGGUCUCUGGCUUUUAAAACCACCGAGAUAUCCCCGUAGUCGUAAGACCAGUUUUCCACGAUAUCCUGGGAGGCAAUGAGCAGUGAGACUAAGUUAACGUCCUUGCCUUCCAGGAUGUCCUUUUUUAGAUUUGCCGGAACCAUGUGGGCAGGAUUAAUAACGUGGGCGGCUGCUUUUGAGGCUAUGGAAUUACCCGUUAUUGCUGUGGGUAUGGCGGGGAUUAAUUUGGAGAGAGGGCCCGGAGGUUGUGCGGGGAAGCUACGGGCUUCCAGCCUCUCCAGCCUGUCGUUGACCUUCCCCAUAAAAGAGGUUAGGGAGGCAACCAUAGCAUGGAGAGUCGGAUCUUGAGAGCUGCUUGUGCCUUCCCCUGCAUCUGUAUUAACGGUAUUGGUUCUUAGCAAUUUGAACAGUUCUGCUUUCCUGGCAGUAGCUGGGAAAGGAAGACUGCGUUUACGUAAUUCUGCAGUGAUGCGGGGGAUAGUCCAUGAUCUGAUGGACGAGGGGCUUCCCGUGUCGCCCUUGCGGGUCGGAGUAAUUGACCAAGCAGGGGUGCUAGGGAUUGACAUAUCCUCACCAUCAUCUGGGAGUAGGGACAUACUGAAAAAUAUAAUAGACAUGUAUGGUAACCAGGGUUGGGAGUUGACGGGUGGCUAGCUAGUGCCAGAUGGCGAAAGAUUAUUCUAGGUUUGUGACAGGUGAGGCCCUGAUAGUGCAAAGUGGCUAGAGAGGCUCUAUCUAUGAGUUGGCGCGAGGGGUGUGGUAGCCUAUCUAGGUGAUGGGUCGUUGGCCUCUCCAUGCGUGUGGGGGGGGGGCAUUUGGUGGUGACUGGUGUCACCCUAUCUAUAUAAUUUGCGAGGUGGCUAACUAUGAUUUGGCCCGAGGGGCGUAUAGUACCUCGAAGUGAAGGAUGGGAGUUGUCCUCGCGGACCGCUAGGAUUAAGGGGCAGGGAAAUAACUAACAUGGCCGUGUUGAAAAAAAAAUGUGCAAAUCAACAUACCUGCAGAAAAUUGAGCACUGGUUCUGUGUAAGAGAAUUCAGAUGUCUCUUGAGUAGGGGGGGGGUUAGCCUAGGUAUUCGGGUUCCUGGGGGUAUAAGAAUUUUAGAUAAUGUACUCUAAUGUGGAACAUAUACAUAAUAUGAAUAAAUUGACGUAGUCAGAGUUCUGGGGUGAGUACUGUCCCCACAAUGUACACAAUGCCACCGGUAGGCCAUGUACUUUAACCGUAACCGUGGUAUAAUUAUCUUAAGACUUAACGUUGCUACUAUACAUGCAGAUAUCUCAUAAUAUAUCUAAUCAGCCAUAAGUAAACAUAUAUCAUAUACUAUCAUGUUUAUCAAGCAUAUCAUACCAUAUAUGUUUAACCAGCGUUUUACUAAUUUAACCAGCGUCCUAAUUAGCAGUAUAUGUAUAAAUAACAGCAAGGUAUGUAACUGUAAAGUAUUUGAAAGGAAAGUGUAUGUUAUAAUCAUGUAAGGUUGCAACUGGCUGAACUAAGGGUCAGCCAGCAACGGAACAUACCAUGGCCCCCCUUUUUAAAAUUGUGCAAGAUAGGUAGACCGGCACCCUACUAUUAUGCCCCCACUUGUGUGUUGCUGGUGGGAACAGGGACCCUUUACGAUAUAGGGGUCUGGUUGAGGCUUGUUCCCGUCCGGGCCGUAUGUAUUGUCUCCCCCCCCCCCUUUUUCCCAUCAUAACUUCCCCCUUAAGACUGGGUUUCACCGGCGGCCGGGAACAGGGACUCCUAACGGUAAUGGAGUCUCUGUCCUGCACCCGGGCCAGCUGCUAUAUCCUCAGUAGGAGCCCUGCUUACUGCACCAAAAAUGGUCUGGUGGGGGGAGAGGCCGGUCGGGUUGGUGGCCGGCGAGUAUCCGGUUAUGGGGCCGGUGAUGCCGGGCUGAAAACCGCUGUUCAGGCCAGGUUCGGAGAGCCAGUGGGCUUUGGAGCCUGUGGAGCCGACGGAAGUCAGCGUGACGUCAGAGGAGUGUGCCGCGUCUCGCCGGAAGUGACGUCACGAACCAGGAAGCCGGCGAGUAUCAGCCUGUUCGUCUAGACCAACGAAGGUAAGAAGGGAAGGGGGGAGUGCCUUAAGUAGGUCUAUAGCCCCUCCCACAAAUUCAGGCCAUGCCUUCCAAUAUAUAUAUACAUAUAUAUAUAUAUAUAGUGAUAUAUACGUAUAUAUUUAUGUAUAUAGAUAUAUAUAUUAUUUCGUUCUAUGUGUAUUUUGAUAUAAAUAUAUAUAUAUUAUCACAAUACAUUUAGAAUGAAAUAACACACAUCUAUAUAUUUUUUUAAUUAUUUAUUUUUAAUUAUUUUUUUAAUUUUAUUUUUUAACUUAUUUACAUAUUUGUUUUAUAUUAUAUAUAAAUAUAUAUAACAAUAAUUAUAUAUAUAUAUUUAAUCAGUAUCAGUCUAUGUGUAAUUUGAUAUUAAUAUAUAUAUAUAUAUAAUUAUAUAUAUAUUAAUAGUAAAAUACACCUAGACAGUGAUUUUUUACCCUGAUUAACAUUUAUUUGAUUUGAAUUCAGCCCUGAUUAACAUUUAUUUGAUUUGAAUUCAGUCAGCAGGGGGGCUAACUGUCAUUACAGGCAGUCCCCCUGCUGGCAAUGCAGCAGGCAGCUAACCCAGCCAUGUGAUUGUGAGGUCCUCGCAAGGACCUCACUCUCACAUGGCUGGGGGGGGCCUGCAGGAGGUCGGAUGUGCCACGGGUAAGUAAAAAAAAAUGGAGGGCGUACUAUUACGCCCGGCGGCGUUUAGAGCCGCCUAAAAUAGUACGCCCUCCGGUCUGAAGGGGUGAAAUAACUCAUUCCUAUAAGCUUUACUUUAUACUUGCCUAUAAUUUUGUUUAUAGGUUCUACUUGGUACUCACCUAUAACUUUGUUUAUAAGUUCUACUUCUCUCACAGCCUGUAUCCUGGUAACCUGCUUAGGGCAUAUUGCCUAAACCUCUGUUUCUGUUGUCUUUCCUUAUAUUACCUAUAAUUUCGUUUAUAGGUUCCACUUAUAGUUAUCUAUUAUUACCUGCUUAGGAUAUAUUGCCUUAUCCUAAAUUUCUAUUAUCUCCUUUCGUCUGUAUUGUUUCCCUUUACCUUAAGUUCUGCUAUUCUUAUUUUCUUGACAAAUCCUGUCUAAAAUUCAAAAUAAAUUUUAGACCUGAUUCAAAACCUGACAGAAACAAACCUAAAACAAAUUAAAACCAAUUUGCCAUAUCAGAAGCACUAGUCUAAAAGUAAAAAAAAUGGCCUUCAUAAUGUGUAUAUAUCAGAUUAGAUUGCAGUAUCAUGAACAGAAUACAAACAUGGAAAGAGAGCUGUUAAAAGAGCCAGAUAGCAUUUUACCUGGGCAGCAUUAAGAUAUAAAACUGAUAUUUAAAAAUAUGUGUAAUUAAGUAGAUGCAUGGGGGGAGGGGGGGGGGAAUGAAUGAAAAUGCAGAUCCACUGAAAUGAGUGUUAGAAAUGUAUGAUAAAUAAAUAGCUACACAAAGUAUAGGAAUAAUAUAUAGUAAGGUACAAACAAUGACUGAUAUGUAAAUCACUGUUAGAAAAUGUUCUGGCCUAACAUCCAAUAAUUCCCCUUACUUUUGCACCAUCUGUGCCUUUUUUUUGGGGGGGGGGUAAUUCUUUAUUUUUGACAUGCACAUAAGUACAACAGUGCCGGUAUUGCCACAGUAGCAUCGACAGGCUCAAUUUUCAUGGUCAUGACAAGACAGAUUUAUGACAUCCUGGGUUGGCCUACAAUAACUAUUUAACCCGGAUCUGACUGCCUGCUCAUCUAUUAUCUGGUGUUAGUGGAGCCGUUCAAUAAAAAGGCUCAGCAUUGGAUCCGAAAACCAUUGGCUACUGUAAGUGUCUAGGCGUGUCCCGAAGGGUAAGGCAGUAUGGAAGAGUGCUGUUAGUACAGCUGCGGGUAUAGUAUCCUUAGACGUGCUAGCUAAAGUGCAAUCAGAGGUUGUAGUGUAAUGUUAUUUAUGUUUUGUUUUUCGAGGUUACUUCGGGUGUGUCUUGUGGCCAAGAUUAUAUUACACCGGGGUCAUUUGGUUGGGAUCUGUACUUUAAGGAGCCCAUGUAAUAGAACACCCUGGCCCCGGAAAGGCUGGAGGAUUUCAGGCGAGAUAUGAACCACUGAGCAGGGGGGUGCUAAGUUGCAAGUUAUGGUGCAUGUACAGUUGAGUGCAGUUGGGAUCAGCGGUCAUUAGGGUGGUGUCUGCCUCCUGGGUGAUCUCGAUAUGAUAAGCCUGAUGAUACGUGUGAUUGUGUGUCGAAGGUAGGUCGGUUAUGUACACCAACUUUUGUUAUUAUGACUAUGGAGGGGCAAGUCAUAUAUGGAAAGCCUCUUGGGUGUGCUUGCACGCUACCAUGAAGUCCAAUAUGAGGGUACUGUCGUCGUGGUGGGCACCCGGUUACACAGUCUUGUGGUAGUCAUGGUCAGGUUCAGUUAUUGCGCAUCCGAUUGUAGGGAUUCUACUGUGGUGCGGUGUGGCAUGUUUUUACAAUAUUUAUCUAAGAGCUGGAUGUCAUGGGGAGAUAUCUUGUUAUAUGGGUAGUCAAGCUUGAUCUCUGUAUCCCUUAAACCCAGACUUCUAUGCUGUUGUAGGUGGAGCACAUCAGAAGGUAGAGCGCAUCAGUCCGUUAGUCGCUCUUUAUGUAAGGUGGACUGUUUGUGACCACCGUGUUGUAUGUGUCUCCUCAGACAUGGGAGCGGGUGAAAUCUCAGGUGAGGCGAGUGUAGAAAAAUGUAGGCAACAAGUGUAUAAGGAAGGAAUAUAGAUUAAGAAUAAUCAGAAAUGGAGUGAGGAAGAAAGUAAAGAAGGGGAAAAGAGCAAGACUGGCCCACACCACUGCCCCCCCCCCCCCCAAGGACCCCCAGCCGAGGCGACCGCGAGGAGGGGGGAACAAGGCGGUGGCGCAGGAAAAAGGGGAAGAGGGGGGGCGAGAGGCACAAGGCAAAAACCGCAGGUAGGCCACCAGGAAGCUAGCCACCCAAGGCUCCCACAUCUGUGCCUUUUUGAUAUCUUGAUAUAUCCCUACCUGUUCCUUACUAGUUAUUUUUAAUAGCAUUUAUGUUCAAGUAUGUAGUAAAUAUAACAUGCUCUGAUCAUUAUUUCAUAGUUACAUGUAAAUCUAGGUUGAAAAAAGAUUAAAGUCCAAUUUUUAAAACCCAUUCACACAAAAAAAUUGUUACAAUUUACAAUUAUGCCACAAGAAAAUUGAAAAAAAUCUUCUUGACUCCAUAAUAGUAAUAAGCUUUCACUUUGGAUCAACAACCUGUGUACAUACAUAUUUGUUAUAUUUUUAAAAAUAUCUAUAGAAUUUAAUAACAGCCUCUUUAGCUAUAGAAUGCUACAUCUUUAUUGUUCUUACUUUAAAGAACUCAUUCCUCUGCAGUAAGCAGAAAUGCCUUUUCUUCCAGUCUCCAUGGGGGUAAAACGUCUGCUACUGAACAGGUUAGCACAUGCUAUCAUAUCACCUCUAAGGCGCCAUUUAAAAAAAAAAUUUUUUAAGAAAACAAAUGCAGUUUUCCUACACAUUCUUCAUAACUAAUAUUGUCUAUACUUAUUAGUUUUGUAGCUUGCCUUUUCAAUUUUUCUAAUUUCGCAAAAUGAUUCUUUAAAACUGGUGCCUGAAAUUGCAUAACAUAUUUGAGGGAUGGGAGGAAAGUCUUUCUAUUGAUUUGUAAAGAGGCAAAAUUAUAUUUUGAUCACAUGAAUCAAUACUCCUUUUAUACAUCACAGCACCUUGCUAGCAUUUGCAAUAGAAGGCCGGCAUUGCGUACAGUUUCCUAAUUUGUUAUCUAGAAUUGUUCCUAAGUUCUUUUCAUUUGAUGUUCUCCCAAUGUAAAGGUGAAAUCUUAUUGCUGCUCACCUGCCCAGUUCUUCAAGUUAUCUAAAUCCCUCUAUAGUGAAGUUAUAUAUUGUUCAUACAUCUUACCUAGUUUUGUGUCGUCGGCAAAUAUGGACACAUGACUUUUUUAAUGACCACUUUAAGGACAUAUAUAAACAAAUCAAGAAGUGUAUACAGGACAAGCAGCAUGCCACUGACAACGUUUUGUCCUGUUUAAAAAAAAAAAACAUGAUUUUUAUUUUUUUUCAGAUUUUUUUAUUUUUAUUGUUUUUCAACAUAAGGAGACGGGUACACAAUGUAGCAUGGUUCGUAAAUAGCUUAGUGCAUACAUGGGUUCAGUUUUCAUACAUCUCGGUUGCGUCAUGACAUCAUUGCAACAAGGUAGUGAUACAUACACCUUAAUACAUAUAUCAGUUGCUUCACAGUAUACCAACAUUUUUCAGAUGUCCCCCAUUCUGGUAUUACAUCUCACCCAUGUACAUCUGGUCUUCUGCAUUCGCAGAAAAUUACCCUUGUAUAUAUACACUUACAAUUCUAUUGAAAUAAAACCAAGAAGAGAAGAGAGGGGAGGGGACACAGGAGGGGAUAAGUGGGGAACACCAACCCCGUUUAGCCAGACUGAUAACAUUAUAUCCGUUACACUGUUACAUUUUGCUCUACUCUAUGCUCUACUCUAUUGGGCCUGAUUGUACGUAUUCUAUUUCAUAUUUCAGCGAGGGAGGGAACCGUUUUACUUUUCCAAUGCUAAUUUUGGCAGCCAAGAGAAUUUGACAUAUCACCGAUUUGUGUUGUGAGGUCAUGAUUUCUGGUGAGACAUGCAGUAGGAAGCAUUCUGGGCAGAGAGGUAUCUUUACUGAGGUCAGUGAGUGGAUCUUUGUGUUCAGUUGAUCCCAAAGUGUUGUCAGCAUGGGGCAGUCCCAAAAGACAUGUUUUAAAGUGCCUUCCUAUUUGUUACAGCGCCAGCAUAAGGGGGAUAUUGUGGGGUACAUUUUAGCUAACCUGGCGGGGACCAACUACCAACGCAUUUAGUAAUUUACAAUAUGACUCCCAAUGUGUGAGGCUGUGAGAGGAUGUUCGCGUCAUCUGUAAUGUUUGCAGCCAAAGGGGCAGGGGAAACGCUGUACCGAUGUCAUGUUCCCACAGCUUCAUGUAUGGGUGCUUCAUCUACUUCAUUGAGGGCGGUGUAACUCAAAGAAAGGGUUUUAAGUGUUUUAUGUUUUCUAAUACACCCCUGGCCAAACGUUGUUAACUGAGAUUCAGGGUGCAAAGUAGAGGAGAUCCCCCGGUAGUAUCAGGCCUUUAGCCCAUCUGCUCCAGCUGUGUAUGAGGAAUGUGGUGCUACAGGGUAUAGGAUUUGUAGUGCUUGUCACCCCUGAGAACAUCCACAGUAGGUGAUCUAUUGUCUGGGGAGCGAUGCAUGCAUUCUCCAGGGGGAGCCUUAGUGGCGGGUUGGGCCGAGACAGGACCUCCACCCCCUGCGCCACUGCAGCUGCUUUAUAAUAUGAUUGAAUAUUAGGGAUUCCAAGUCCCCCCUUAUGUACUUGGAGCCACGUAAGACGUCUGGCUAUUCGCAGAGGUUUUUUCUUCCAAAUAUAUGCAUUAAACAGAGUCUGAAAUUCACUAGUGUGUCAGGUAGUUGUAUGGGAAUAGUGCGGAAUAGGCAUAGCAAGUGUGGUAGGGCCAUCAUUUUGAGAGUGUUGAUUCAUCCCAUCCACAAGACCUCCAGAUGCUGCCAUUUACCCAGGAUCAACUGGAGUUUGUGGGUGAGUGGUAUAUGGUUUUUCCUUAAUGAGACGUGUGCCUGUUUUUGUCAAGUUUAUGCCCAAGUAUUUCAGGGAUGUUUUCCUCCAGUCGAAGGGAUAAAGUGAUUAUAGUACUUGAGUUACCUCUAAGGGGAGGCCAAUAGGCAGCGCCUGUGUUUUCUUUCCAUUAUUUUUGUAGUAUGAUACUUUCCCGUAUUCGUGUAGUAACUCCAUUAGUAUCGGGAUCAAUGUCCUUGUUUGUGUGAGAAACAGCAGGACAUCGUCCGCAAAGAGCGCUAUUUUUUUGUGGGCCCGCAGGAGUGGUGAGUCCUGUGAUUUGUUCUUGCUGUUUAAUGUGGUGUACUAGAGGUUCUAAGCAUAAAAUAAAGAUGAGUGCUGAUAGUGGGCAGCCCUGCCAGGUACCAUUACUGAUGUAGGAUGUAUCGGAGAGGAAGCCCGAGUUAAAUACCUUUGCUGAUGGAACUUGGUAUAGGGCCAUGAUUCCCUUGAUGAAGAAGGAGGAGAAUCCCAUUUUAGCCAAAGUGGCCUGCAUGUACUCCCAGUUAAGGCGGUUGAACGCUUUUUCAAGAACAUGAUUUUUUUAAUCUGAACCUCCUGUUUUUGGUUUUAAUAGGAACCUGUAACCGUUUAAAAUGCUGUAGCAAAUUCCAAGGAGAUAACAUCCACCUGAACACCCCAAUCUAUGUUUCUACUAACUCCUUCAUAUAACUAUCUCCCAUAAAACCAUGUUGAUUCCUGCUAAUGACAUUGUUGUUCAAAAUUCAUUUUAAAUAUUAUACCUUAACAGGCCUUAAAAUUAUUUCAAAAUCACAUAUGUUAAGUUCACAGGUGUGUAGUUGCAAGGUUGAGCUAUUGGGUUAUUUUUAAAUAUAGGCACCACGUCUGUUUUCUCCAUUCCCUUGGUAUGAUUUCUGAAAGUAAACAUUCCUGAUUAGUUCUAUUUUUAGCUCUCUAGAUACUCAAGGGGGAAUACCAUCUUGCCCCUGAGCUCUGUUUACAUUAAAUGAAUUUGAUUUCUGAAGCACUUUAUCCUGUGCUAACCAAUCAACUGUUUGCUGUAAGGCUUUUGUAACUGGGAUCUCAGAUUCAAAUGGACCAACACUUUGCCUCUUAACCUUUUUGGAAGUAAUGUACUUGAAAAAAAAACUGUAUGGGUUUGGUCUUGCUGUCUGGGUAUAAGUGUUUAAUUCUAGUUUAGUCUACCUAAUCACCUUUUUGCAAACCAUAUUGACAUGCUUCUAUUUGCUAUUAUUAUUAUUAUUAUUAUUAUUAUUGGUAUUUAUAUAGCACCAACUUAUUCUGCACCACUUUACAAUAGUAUAAAAGGAGGAGAUGUAAUAAUAAAUUAGACUAUUACAAACUGUUACAGGAACAAUAGGUUGAUGAGGACCCUGCUCAAACAAACUUUCAGUCUAGAGUAUGCCAUUAACCCAUCUAAUUUAAAUGUUUUGAAUGCCCUUUUCUUACUGGACAGAUCCUUUUACGAAGUCACAUUGGCUUUAAUUGGCUGAUUUUAUAUUUGUUUCCUAGUUGGAUGUAUUGAAAAACAGCACUUUUUGUAGAAUUUGACUAAAGACCUUCUAAUAAUCCUAUAUGCUUUUCCAGUGAAUAGCUCCUGCCAGUCAAUUGUUGUAAAGUCCUUAUCCUAUAUUACAUGUUAUGAAGAUAAAGUAUGGAACUAAGGAAUCAAGCAACAGAUACAAUUUAUUGUAGAUACAUUAAAUGUUAUAUGAUCUUCAAAGUGGUAUUAAAAGUCUUCUUACAGUAUUUGUAGAUGACACAAAAUUAAGUAAAAUGAUAUCAGUUGAACAAGAGGUUCCUGAUUCAUAGAGUGGUAUGGAUACUGUGGGUUGUGGGGGAGGCAAAUGGCAGAGGAUUUUCAAUGCAUUUAAAUUAAAUGUGAAAAUACAAAUAGAAAAACAAACUUGCAAUGCUUCCUGCAGAUAUAAGUAAUCCAGCAUCAGCAGAUUUCUGUUCACAUCAUUUUCUCCGUCCCUAUAUGAGUAGAAUUUUAAUAUACAGCUCCAAAGAAUACCUUGAUCUGGCUCUUUUAUAGAAGAAUUCCCCUGACAGAACCAAGACUAUAUCUUCUGGCAAGCUUUAUAUUGGGACUUUAUAAUGGACAUGUUAUUGUUAUUAUUCUUUUUUGUCUUUUUAUCCUUUUGUAAUAUAUUUACUCCUACUAGUGUUUUUUUUUACUAUUUUGACACUACCUCUAUUCCCUUUGUUUCUAUUAUCCCAAUUGUUUGUAGGGCUGAGAGGGAAGCCUUAUUAAUUGGUGUGCUGCCUAUUUAAUUCAAUAUUGUGAAUUUUUGGUUUGGUAAAUUAGCACUGAUCCUUUUGAUUUUAUUCCCCAUAUAUCCCCAGCAUCAUGGUGUGUUCUUCUAAAGGAAUUUCUGACGUGGAAAACUUCUCAUUUGUCUCCAUUUAUAUGUCAGUCUAUGUGGGGCUUUUUUAAAGAUAUCUACUUGGCAGUGUCCACUUAUGCCAUCAUAUCUCUCUGUAACCAAUCACAACCCAGUAUAGGGUGUAUAUACUUGCAGGUUAUCCUUGUUUCCUUGCACUAUCAUGGUUUCUGUAUACCUGGGAGUGCGUUAUUAAUUUACUGUUUAUUGACCUUGACUUGUCUGACUAGUUUUGCAGGGAUGUACCUAACGUGAGGCAAACAAGGCAUUUGCCUUUGGCGGCAAUUUCCAGGGGGUGGCAAAAAACGCCGCCCCCAAAUGCCCAGGCAAAUAUCUUGUUUGCCUCGUUUUAUGGGAGCCCAAAGGUGGCUCCCCCGGGGCAGGCGGGCGGUUCGUUCGCGGGCGGGCAGGCAGCCACACUAAGCUGUCAGAGAGCGAGCACUUUCCUCUGAGUGCUCUGCUCAGCUCCCUUGCGUGACGUCAUAUUCCGGCUCCCGGCAUUACUGCAGGUCGCGCAAGGGAGCUGCUCAGAGGAAAGUGCUCCCUCGCUGACAGCUUAGUGUGGCUGCCUGCCUGCAAAAGAACCGCCCGCCUGCACGUCCGGCUGCCUCCCUGCCCAGCAGCCACACUGGACCCCAAGUGAAAAAUCCACCCAGCUAUCCCAAAAGUAGAGAGGCUGGGUGGAUUUCAGUUUUUAACAACAAAAAAUAAUAAUUGUGAGUUGGGGAAAUGUGUGUGUGUGUGUCAGGUAAUAUGAGUGUUUGUCAGGGAAUGUGAAUGUGUGUCGGUCAGUGAGUGCGUGCGUCUGUCAGUGAGUCUGUCCGUGAGAGUGUCUGUCAGUGUGUGUCCGAGUAAUAGUGUAUUUCAUUGUUUGUCAGCGUAUAUGAGAGCGUGUGUCUGUCAAUGAGUGUAUGCAUUUAUCAGUGAGAGUGUGCAUCUGUAAGUGAGUGAGCCUCUGUCAGUCAAAGUUUGGCCUUGACAGGAAGGGGUGGGGAAAACUUAAAUUGGGGGGGGGGAGCCCGAGCACCGUCCUGCCUAGGGCAGCACAAAUCCUAAAUACACCAUUGUACUCUUGCUCUCUGUAAUUCUGACCUUGGCUUGUUGCUCAAUUCUGUGUAAAAUGCAAAUGAAAUUUAGACAAACCAAUUUCAUUUUCAGCUUCUUACUCAUUGUCAGCGAUUUAGGGGCUUAAAAAUGGAAAUGUCAGGAACCAGAGUAACUUAAUUCCUCAAUGGUUAAACUAAUAAAUAAAACCCUGUCAUAUAAUUAUGAGGGAGAUUUACAACCUUAUGCAGAUAUUGGGGGCAUAUAAACUAGAGAGUAAGGAGCCAAUGGCUGCCCUCUGUAAUAAAAGGCUAGUGACUACAUUAUAUACAUUAUAUAAAUAAUAUAAGUGAAGCCCCUAUCAAAAAAAUAUAUAUACUUACCAUCAGAUGUCUUCUUUCUUCUUAGAGGGAUACUAUAAGUGCCAGGAAUACAAAGCUCCCUUUGCCUUUCCCCUCCCUCGCGCCUGAGCCACGACGAGCAGGUGCUAAUGAAUGCUUUCCUAUGUGGUUCUCAUGCAGAGGGUGAGGAUGUCCAGCGUCAGAUCAAAGUGCCUCCAGUGUCUGUCUGGGAGAAAUCCAUGGGAGGCAGACUUAGUGCUGCAAUAUAAGCAUUGUAGAAUUAAGGGCAAUAGGGGCACUGUACCCAGACUACUUCAAUUACCUGAAUGGAUGGGGUUGGGAUAAACUGCUGGUCUAUGAAUUAGUAAGUCCGGUCUCUGAGGAAGCGGGCAAGAAGGAACCUGGCUCAUUUUGUUAGGAGUGGAAACAAAGGUCUCCAGAUUUUUCUUACAAAUUGGUGAAUCAUCGGUAGGAGAGGGAAUCCAUACCCCAGAUCGAAUUCUCAUGGAAGAGAUAAGGCAUCUUGGCCUGCUGAGAGAUGGUCUGAUUGGAGAGAGAAAUAUAUAGGGAACUUGUGUAUUCUUUCUCAGAGCUAUUAAAUCGAUCUGGGGAGUGCCCCACCAAAGAGAUAUCAUCUGAAACACCUUUGGAUUUAAUUUCCAUUCUCCCGGUUGAAUCAUAGUUCUGCUCAGGUAAUCUGCUAAUAAAUUUUCUGUCCCCAGAAGGUAUACUGCUCUUAGACCUUGUAAUCUGGUCUGAGUAAAUUUCAUCAGAGGAACUAACUCCUUCAAAAGAGUUUUGCUUCUGGUUCCACCUUGGUGAUUAGUGUAUGAAGCCACAGCUCUGUUGUCCUUUUGGAUUCUCACCCAUGAAUUUUCUAGGUGAAGAUAAAACCCCUGGAGAGCCCUGUAAAUUGCUCUCAGCUCUCUUAGAUUCAAAUGAAAGUUCCCUGUAUACAUUUCUUGUCUAGAUUAGCACCCCAUCCGUGAAGACUCGCAUGUGUAGCAAUAGUUAUCCAUUUUGUUUUUUCUAAUGGAAAUCUUAGAGAUAGGUGUUUCACUAUUGUCCGUCACAAUAGUUUGUCAAUGCUGCUUGGACAUGGAAGAAUUCUACGAACCCAACAAUAUCCCAUUUCUUUGAAUUGGUGUAAGAACUCCAUCUGAAUAGGUUGUAUGUUUCACUGGGCCCAUUUUACUAGUCCUAUAGUGCACGUGCGCGAGUCCUGCAGGCUCAUAAAUUCUCUUGCUGUUGAAUGUGUUUUUGUUUUUAAGAUUCCUGAUCUUUAGUUGAAUCUUUUCCAUCCUUACUGGUGAUAGGGUCACUGUCCCACUGUCUAAACAAAAAAUGAAUACACCCCAAUCAAGGAGGGGGGGGUCAGUACUUUUAUUUAGAAAAGGGAAAAGAUUAAAAAUUAAAGCUAUGAUAACUAGCUUAUAGAUCCGUCUUAUGGGGCAGUACUACAAAUGUCCACAGCUAUAAGUGCCAAUACUAUCUAGUAGGGAAAUACUUUAUUGGUUAAGACAGGAAAAUACACAUUGGACCAGUUAGAGCUAGAAGUACUAGGGAAAGGCCUUUCGUUCAUCUCAAUCCCAUGCUUUGAUAAGUUCAACUGGGUGAAGGAUAUUCACUUGUUUGCACAGAAAUGAAUACUUCAUAAGACUCACAUUUAAAAAAAAAAUGAGAAAAAAAACAAAUCAUUGGGCCCUGAACUCAGGGAUUAUCAACUAACUUUGAUGAUAGCUGAACUACUGCAAGAAAAUUAUUUAGAUGAGGGAGGCCAAUGGAAAUUGACAACAUAUCCAUCCCAGAGCUAGCUCCCAAACCAAACUCCAACCUAUCAGCAAAGGAAGUUAAAGCCUUGAAGGACCUACAGGAGAGGGAGGGGAUAACAAUCAAACCAUCAGCUAAAGGAGGGAAUAAUGUAAUCCUAGACACCACCCAAUAUGUUGAGAUGACCAAAAAAAUCCUCACAGAUACCACCACUUACAAGAUCUUAAAAUUAGAUCCCACAAAGGUCUUCUUGGAAAAACUAAAACAUAUCCUACAAACAGGGUUUAACGAUAAUAUGAUAUCCAAGAAUGAAUAUGAUUUUAUGCUGAAUACAAACCCAUGUAUCUCAACGUUCUAUAGUCUACCCAAAAUACACAAACAACACCCAGUGUUAUCAGGGAGACCAAAAGUAUCGGGAAAUAACAACAUGAUGCAAAAUGUUAGCAUAUAUCUAGAUCAUAUUCUAAGACCUCUAGUAGUCAGACUUCCCUCGUAUUUGAGGGAUACAAAACAAACCCUGGUGGAUUUGGCCCAGUUAAUUUGCAGCCUGGACGUUGAGGCCCUGUAUAGUUCGAUUCAUCAUAUUCUGGGGCUUAAACAUACAAGAUAUACAUCUUGAGAAAUAUAUCAAUUUACCUAUUGAGCUUUUACAGUUCAUUCUAAACCACAACUUUUUCAUAUUUGAUGGCGUAUUUUAUCACCAGGUGCAGGGAACUGUGAUGGGGACGUCUUGUGCGCCCUCAUACGCCAACCUGCACCUGGGUUGGUGGGAAGAACAAGUAAUAUUUGACCCGCUUAAUACCUUUACUCAAUGUAUCUACUCAUGGAAGAGAUACAUUGAUGACAUUAUGCUCAUUUGGACGGGUACAAAUGACAAAUGUUUUCACUUUGUAUGAGUAUUUAUUUAUCCAAAUCAAAUGCCCUUGACUAAAUAGUAAAAUGGAUGUCCGCAAUUGUUUAAGUGUAUAUAGUGUAUGGUAACAUGAAAACUUAAUCAAUACAACAAUGUAUCUCCAUGAAAUUCCUCCCCCCCCCCCAAAAAAAAAAAAAGAAAGCAAGAAUGAAAGAGACCAAAUACUAUUAUAAUAAAACAUAGAGACAUACAAACAGACCAAAAAAAACCAUAAUGUGGUUUAUGAAAAACAGACCAAAUCAAUAUCUACAUUUAAUCCCAUGGGUUCUAGUGUUUUUAUUUGGUGAAUCCAAAAAGUUUCUCUUUGGGAUAAAUUCUUGAUCCUAUCACCACCACGCCAAUGAGGGGUAACUCUUUCAAUACCCAGGCAUCUAAACUUUUUCCAUGAAAAGGAAGGGCAUGUACUGCAAUGAGCAGAAACUGAGUGGGUGAUUAACCCUUCCUAAUAUUGUUCAGAUGCUCAAGUAUUCGAACUUUAAAUAUUCUUGUGGUGCGGCCCACAUACUGUUUGCCACACGGACAUUGCAGUAAAUAAACUACAAAGUCCGUGUGGCAACCUAUAUCCGAUUUAAUAUGGUAUACCUUCCCAGUACUGACACUAGAAAAGGUGUUUGAUCUCUCAGUAGUCACAGUCUUACAAGCUUUGCACGCUUUACAUCCCCUACAGAAUCCUACAUUCAUAUUAGUGGAAGAGGUUUUACAUAUAAUAUAUAAUAUAUACAAAAAAAAAGAUUUUAUUAUUGUUAUUCUAUUUCUAUGAUUUUUUAUUAUUUUUAAAUUACUUACAUUAUCCACAAUUGUUACUUUGUGAUUACAAUUGUUUUUUCAAGGUUAGUUUUGAAUCAAAUACCUAUUGGGGAUUCCAAAAUGGUAAAAGUGAUCAACUUUUGAUGCUCUAUAGCUAUAUUCCACCAUGUUGCUACCAAUACUAUUGUGUUUUGUCUCAACAGAUAUAUGACUCUCUCCAACAUUUACUAUUUGGGACUGUUCCCCUGGCGACCACCCGAGGGCUCUGUUAACAAACCCUGGUGGAUUUGGCCUCACUUGCUGGAACGCACGACUGAAUGGAACGCAGAAGUGUGCGUUCACUUCCGGUUACGGUUUUCGGCUGACAUUGGACGCGCGAAUUUCGAUUGUAAUCAAAGCAAGAAAAAGUCAGCUGGAUGUGAUUAACCACUACACCAAUGAAGGAAGGAACCCAGGAAGACGCCCAGGUCACCACCAAUAAACUUAGGGAUUAGCCCUAUAUAACAGGACUGAUGGGAUGGUGGAAUUAGGCUGUAUUUUAUACUCUGUCAUUGUUGUAUUAUAAUUGAUUUUAAUUUUGGUCCCUGAGGAGGUUCCAUACUGUGAACGAAACGCGUAGGACCUCAUUUUAAGUUUGUUUUCUUUUUAUUGCUGGGUGAAGAUUCAUCCUUAAUAAAGCCGUUUAAAAUUGUUUCCAC